rnacentral:snRNA from 1 species
GUGCUCACUUUGGCAGCACAUAUAUAAAAUUGGAACGACACAGAAAUUAGGAUGGACCCUGCACCAUGACAAAUUCAUGAAGUAUUCCAUAUUUAA